ACAAUGGAGAGUUUGAUCCUGGCUCAGGAUGAACGCUAGCGGGAGGCCUAACACAUGCAAGCCGAGCG
rnacentral:rRNA from 1 species